GUCUAAGUAUCUGAACCCUCUUCUCUCUCUUUCUUUUAUCUCUUUUCUUCUUCUCUCUCUAGGCUACGAAGGGUUGAGGAAGAAAGGUUGGCAGCUGGUGGGGUGUUGUGGACUGAAGUGAAGCUUUGAUCCAAGUAAAGAAUUCUUGCUGAUUGGGGUUGCUCUAUAACCUGGAUCAGCAUCUAAUCAAGGUAAACUUGAUUAGUACUUAUUCAUAGAUAAGUUGAUUGUUUAAAGAGGAGAUUUAUAUGGAUUUCUUGCUAAGGGCAAUUUGGAAGAGCACUUAAUUAAGGCCUGAAGUUGGGUUUGUGGAGCUGCCGAAUUGGGGCUGCAGCUGUUGAAGCUGAGAUUUGAGCUGAAUUCUUGUUGUUGGAGCAGCAAGCUUGAGCUGAUAAGGGUUUAAGCAAGUUAAAUUCCUGCUGUUGCUACUGCCGAAAUGCAGGAAUGGGCCAUUUGAUGUAGUGAACAAUGCUGCUGGUAGUAGCAGAUUUGAAGUUGAGGCUUGUUGGAGCUGCCAAGUUGAAAGAUUUCGCAAAGGGAAUCGGAAAUUGAGGAAUUGGGCACCCAAGUUGAAGAAGCCUGGGUAGAACUUCCUUGGUAAUGCAAGCUGCAACAAAUCUGGUGGAGCUUGGACUUUAGGUCGACGACGCGCUAAUUACGGUAGAGGCCGUUUUAGCUCUGUUUGCACCGAAUCGCGAGAGCGGGUUAUCAACACACUCUGAGACGUGAGAUCUAAUUGAUUGACACCACUACAGGUUCCAGUGCGAGCGGUGUGGCCGAGGACCGUGGCAAGAGCCCCGCAGCUUAGCUAGCUGACACCAGAGUAUAGUAGUUUACCAUUUUGAGUUCA